rnacentral:rRNA from 1 species
CCUACGGGCGGCAGCAGUGGGGAAUAUUGCACAAUGGGGGAAACCCUGAUGCAGCGACGCCGCGUGAGUGAAGAAGUAUUUCGGUAUGUAAAGCUCUAUCAGCAGGGAAGAAAUAGCGACCUUUGGGUCGCCAGACGGUACCUGAUUAAGAAGCCCCGGCUAACUACGUGCCAGCAGCCGCGGUAAUACGUAGGGGGCAAGCGUUAUCCGGAUUUACUGGGUGUAAAGGGAGAGGAGACGGCAGCGCAAGGCUGAAGGGAAAUGCCGGGGCUUCACCCCGGAACUGCUUUGGAAACUGUGCAGCUAGAGUGCAGGAGAGGUAAGUGGAAUGCCUAGUGUAGCGGUGAAAUGCGUAGAUAUGAGGAGGAACACCAGUGGCGAAGGCGGCUUACUGGACUGUAACUGACGUUGAGGCUCGAAAGCGUGGGGAGCAAACAGGAUUAGAUACCCGUGUAGUC